rnacentral:rRNA from 1 species
AGAGUUUGAUCAUGGCUCAGGACGAACGCUGGCGGCGCGCCUAACACAUGCAAGUCGAACGAGCGAGAGAGAGCUUGCUUUCUCGAGCGAGUGGCGAACGGGUGAGUAACGCGUGAGGAACCUGCCUCAAAGAGGGGGACAACAGUUGGAAACGACUGCUAAUACCGCAUAAGCCCACGGGUCGGCAUCGACCAGAGGGAAAAGGAGCAAUCCGCUUUGAGAUGGCCUCGCGUCCGAUUAGCUAGUUGGUGAGGUAACGGCCCACCAAGGCGACGAUCGGUAGCCGGACUGAGAGGUUGAACGGCCACAUUGGGACUGAGACACGGCCCAGACUCCUACGGGAGGCAGCAGUGGGGAAUAUUGCACAAUGGGGGAAACCCUGAUGCAGCGACGCCGCGUGGAGGAAGAAGGUCUUCGGAUUGUAAACUCCUGUUGUUGAGGAAGAUAAUGACGGUACUCAACAAGGAAGUGACGGCUAACUACGUGCCAGCAGCCGCGGUAAAAUGUAGGUCACAAGCGUUGUCCGGAAUUACUGGGUGUAGAGGGAGCGCAGGCGGGAAGACAAGUUGGAAGUGAAAUCCAUGGGCUUAACCCAUGAACUGCUUUCAAAACUGUUUUUCUUGAGUAGUGCAGAGGUAGGCGGAAUUCCCGGUGUAGCGGUGGAAUGCGUAGAUAUCGGGAGGAACACCAGUGGCGAAGGCGGCCUACUGGGCACCAACUGACGCUGAGGCUCGAAAGUGUGGGUAGCAAACAGGAUUAGAUACCCUGGUAGUCCACACCGUAAACGAUGAUUACUAGGUGUUGGAGGAUUGACCCCUUCAGUGCCGCAGUUAACACAAUAAGUAAUCCACCUGGGGAGUACGACCGCAAGGUUGAAACUCAAAGGAAUUGACGGGGGCCCGCACAAGCAGUGGAGUAUGUGGUUUAAUUCGAUGAUACGCGAGGAACCUUACCCGGGCUUGAACUGUAGGCGAACGAUUCAGAGAUGAAGAGGCCCUUCGGGGCGCCUAUGGAGGUGCUGCAUGGUUGUCGUCAGCUCGUGCCGUGAGGUGUCGGCUUAAGUGCCAUAACGAGCGCAACCCUUGUUCGUAGUUGCCAUCGGUUAAAGCCGGGCACUCUGCGAAGACUGCCUCCGUAAGGAGUGAGGAAGGUGGGGAUGACGUCAAAUCAGCACGGCCCUUACGUCCGGGGCUACACACGUGUUACAAUGGCAUGUACAGAAAGCUGGGUGUAUGCAAAUACGCUCGAAUCCCUAAAACAUGUCUCAGUUCGGACUGGGGUCUGCAACCCGACCCCACGAAGCUGGAUUCGCUAGUAAUCGCGCAUCAGCCAUGGCGCGGUGAAUACGUUCCCGGGCCUUGUACACACCGCCCGUCAAGCCAUGAAAGCCGGGGGCGCCUAAAGUCCGUGACCGCGAGGGUCGGCCUAGGGUGAAACCGGUGAUUGGGGCUAAGUCGUAACAAGGUA